UACGAAGGGGGCUAGCGUUGUUCGGAAUUACUGGGCGUAAAGCGCGCGCAGGUGGUCUUUCAAGUCAGUGGUGAAAGCCCGGAGCUCAACUCCGGAAAUGCCAUUGAAACUGUAAGACUUGAGGAUGAGAGAGGUGAGUGGAAUUCCCAGUGUAGAGGUGAAAUUCGUAGAUAUUGGGAAGAACACCGGUGGCGAAGGCGGCUCACUGGCUCAUAUCUGACGCUGAGGCACGAAAGCGUGGGGAUCAAACAGG
rnacentral:rRNA from 1 species